rnacentral:lncRNA from 1 species
CAGAAGAAGCACAAGAAAAGCUCAUCUUAUGAAGCGGUCGUUCUUUAACAACAUGACCAAAAUUCUGACGAACAACACUUUGAAAAAAUCAACUCCUCAAAUGAAAUGACCAUCCUAUUUGAUGCCUCUAGUAAAUGAGGAAUAUUUUACAAGAAACAAAUCACUUAAAGUCUAGAAAACAAACAUCAUGAGAAUAAACAUCAUAGAUUCAUGCCCGCUUAACAAUCACAAAACUGAAUACAUUGUUCAUCUGAAAGCGACAGAAUCUUGACUCAAAAUGAUAACUCUACACCAAAGUAACAGCCAAAGCAUAAAAAUCAUAGAAUACAACUACUCAAAAGCGUCUCUUACUGAUUGAACGUACUCAAGCACAUCAUUCCAUUGAGAAGAGACUCACCAACAAGAAAUUCAAUCACAGAAUAGAACACCAUUGAACAAAAUCUCACAGUUCAAGACACCUUGAAACAGAGAUGUAGAAGAGAAAACAAAUUGAACCUCAAAUUUCAAGCUUCCUGUAAUAAUUACAGACUUGACAAUACACUUUUCGACUCCAAAUCCUAGCGAGGUUCAGCAGUCUCUCAGCAGGACAACAAUAGAAAAAUCAAGCUUGAACUUCAAUUCAUUUUUUAUCUCUUCAGAACUAAAAAAAGAAUUCAGAAAGAAAAAAUCGUAUAUAUGUUUCUCUUAAACUUUCUUAGAACUCUUCCAAGAAGAAAUUCAAAUUAGAACACCAAAAGUUCUUUUUCCUCAAAAUUGUUUUUGUUCCCAGUCCCCCUUUUCAAAAUCGGAUCAAGCCUCUUUUGGAGACCAAUACUUGAUGAAUGUGGGGACGUAUUGAGUGAAAUCAAUCCAAUGCCUCACACUCAUCCAACAUUACAUCUCCAGAAAGUUCCAACCACGAGAUAGAUCUCAAAAUGAGCGAGUAAGAGGAGAGGGAAUCUUUGGUGUCAGAAAUCGUUAGCAACAGUAAGGUGAAAGAAGGAGGGACGUGUGGGUUAGGGAUUUGGGAUUCACUCGCUCAAAUUUGGACUGUAUUAGGGUUGGAUUCGCGGGAGGAUGAUAAAGGAACAAUACGCGUCUCUAGUAUUAGG